AUGCAACAGCAGCAGCAGAUGAUGCAGCAGCAGCAGGCACAGAUGAGCUGGCUGAUGAGCCAGACGGCUCUGUCUUCUCCACCGGGGAGUCUUCCUCCUCCACCUUACUCCAUGUGGAUGCCGCCACCGCCCACUCAGACCCCGGGGACACCUAUCACCGUCAACAACAUGAACAUCAUCCGGAGCAUGAACCUCGAUAAUUAUUCACAAGGCAAUGACAAUGAGGCCGGCGGAAGCGGAGGAGGACAAGGUUGAUGGCAUGGUCUUGAUGGAUUUGUGGACAUUACACUUGUUAUGGAUUGUACUUGUACUUGAUGUGUGUUGAUGUAUUUGUGUGGACAUUGCACUUGUUAUGCAUAAACUAUGUGUGUUGAUGUAUUUGUGGUGUUGUUCAUGUGUUUGGUGAUGCUAUGGUGAAUAUAUAUGUUGUAUAUGUUAUAUAUAUGUGAAAUGCUAUUUUGAAAUGCAGGGAUUA